AUUGAACGCUGGCGGCAGGCCUAACACAUGCAAGUCGAGCGGAUGAAGGGAGCUUGCUCCUGGAUUCAGCUGCGGACGGGUGAGUAAUGCCUAGGAAUCUGCCUGGUAGUGGGGGAUAACGUCCGGAAACGGGCGCUAAUACCGCAUACGUCCUGAGGGAGAAAGUGGGGGAUCUUAGGACCUCACGCUAUCAGAUGAGCCUAGGUCGGAUUAGCUAGUUGGUGGGGUAAAGGCUUACCAAGGCGACGAUCCGUAACUGGUCUGAGAGGAUGAUCAGUCACACUGGAACUGAGACACGGUCCAGACUCCUACGGGAGGCAGCAGUGGGGAAUAUUGGACAAUGGGCGAAAGCCUGAUCCAGCCAUGCCGCGUGUGUGAAGAAGGUCUUCGGAUUGUAAAGCACUUUAAGUUGGGAGGAAGGGCAGUAAGUUAAUACCUUGCUGUUUUGACGUUACCAACAGAAUAAGCACCGGCUAACUUCGUG
rnacentral:rRNA from 1 species